rnacentral:lncRNA from 1 species
AUCUAAAAUAUUUAAAAAAUUAUAAAAAUUAAAAAAUAUAAAAAUAUUUUUAGAAAUUAUAAAAAUUAUGAAAACUUAAAAUUUCCAAAAACAAAUCUCAAAAUUCAAAAAGUUUUUGAAAAAUUAAAAAGAUGAAAAUUUAAUAAAAAUAUAAUUUUUGUAAAAUUCAAAAAAAGAUUUACAAAAGUUAAAAAAUAAAAAUCUAAAAUCUAAAAUUUUUUUAAAAAAUCUAAA